rnacentral:rRNA from 1 species
GGAUGACCAGCCACACUGGAACUGAGACACGGUCCAGACUCCUACGGGAGGCAGCAGUGGGGAAUAUUGCACAAUGGGCGCAAGCCUGAUGCAGCCAUGCCGCGUGUAUGAAGAAGGCCUUCGGGUUGUAAAGUACUUUCAGCGGGGAGGAAGGCGAUAAGGUUAAUAACCUUGUCGAUUGACGUUACCCGCAGAAGAAGCACCGGCUAACUCCGUGCCAGCAGCCGCGGUAAUACGGAGGGUGCAAGCGUUAAUCGGAAUUACUGGGCGUAAAGCGCACGCAGGCGGUCUGUCAAGUCGGAUGUGAAAUCCCCGGGCUCAACCUGGGAACUGCAUUCGAAACUGGCAGGCUAGAGUCUUGUAGAGGGGGGUAGAAUUCCAGGUGUAGCGGUGAAAUGCGUAGAGAUCUGGAGGAAUACCGGUGGCGAAGGCGGCCCCCUGGACAAAGACUGACGCUCAGGUGCGAAAAGCGUGGGGGA